rnacentral:tRNA from 1 species
GGGUCGGUAGCUCAGUUGGUAGAGCAGGAGCCUCUUAAGCUCUUUGUCGUGGGUUCGAGUCCCGCCCGACCCACCA